GCCUGGGUGGCUCAGUUGGUUAAGCGUCUGACUUCGGCUCAGGUCAUGAUCUCGCAGUUUGUGAGUUCGAGCCCCGCGUCGGGCU
rnacentral:tRNA from 1 species